UUAAAGCACAUCUCAGUCAAACUUUCUUUAUUCUUAGAUCAGCAGCUUGAGCCAGAGAUGACUUUAAAGUUAAUCAAUCCAACAUCCUUGGAGUAUUUCUGACUGUGAAAAGAACAAAUUAAAGGAAGGAAAAGUAGGUUUUACUAAAUUAGAGAGGGAUUUAACAAAGAUGAAAUGAGAAACUUUUGGGUACUUGUUAUCUUUAAGUGUAUUUGAACUCCCCCAAAUCUGUUCCCUUCAGCCUCAAAGCAAAAAAUGUAAAUGAUCCAAAUAUGAACUUUGAAGAAACAACCUGUUGGGGGACACAAGUUUAGUCCAGCACUUUGAAACAAAGACAUUUGAAGUACAAAUAAACAAACGAAGCUACUUCUAAUCUACCUUAUUUCUGAUAUGUGGAUUAAAAAAUACUUCUAAAGAAAGUGCAUAUCUGACUGUCCCAAUCUAGAAGGAAAAAAAACCCGGGGGGAACCUCAGUGGAGCUCCGCCCCUUCUCCACCUCUCUUCAUUGCACAGACUCAAAGUAAAGCGCCAGGACAGCUCAGCCGAGUGUCUGCUCCUCUGUCACCGGCUCUGCUCCGUGCGCACUUCACCCGGAAAGUUACAGGAUUGUUUGACGGAUAAGUACACUGGCCCAAACCCAUGCUGUUGAUCGCUGUGGAUCCACUUGGCUGUGUGAAAGACCAAGUCAACACACCGCUGCGUGUCAUGACGUCUCCAUAAACCGAAACUGAGGACUUCGCUGCGUAAAUUUUGGAUAAAAGACUUGAGCGACUUGGAAAGAAGAUGAAAGUCUGUAUUUCAUAGAAAUGGUAAGAGAAACUGUUUCUAAAACUUGAUGUCUUUUCCCUGUUUGUCGUAUCGUGGUUGUGAGUUGUGCAUAUGAAUAUAUAAAAUUUGUGUGUUUUUGAUUGUUCAGUUAGCGCACACAAAAGUCUAUUUCUCUGUAACUCUAGAAGUUUAUCUCUCCUUAUAUUAAGCGAAUAUAAGGAUUACACACGCCUGUUUCACUCUUAUUAAUGACCUGCUGUGUAUGUAUCAUUACGUGGACCACCUUAGUCAACUAGAAGCAAAGGGUAGGGGAGACCAGGUAUGGUUGUGACACUUCAGCACUUAACUCACUUUAGAGUGCUCAAAUAUUUAUGAAGAGUACUCACAGUUGUUUGCUUCAAAUUGGAAUUGUUUUAAACCUUCUCAAAAAUAUUAUGGACCUUGAGAGUGUAAAUCAAAUAGAUGGUGUCUCCUUGUUAUAAUGGGACUGAUCCCUGGUCCCCGGCGGAGUAAGUUUGAGUCACAGUUUAGAGAUAAAGUUGGCAGAUGAUUCAGUGAUGGUCAGCCUGCUGCAGGAUGAGGAGAUUGGCCACCAAUGAGUACUUAAAAUUAUUCACACUAUUUCUUAACAUUUAUCUGAGUGUAAGACAAAACGAGAUGUUCAUUGAUUUUCUUAUGUAUCGGCUGUCAUCAGUGGAACAGCUGUAGAGACAGUAAAACAGUGUACCUAUAGGUAAUGCUUCAUGACAAAUUCACCUUUGAGGAUGCCAAGUGCAAGAAAGACAAUCAGGGAUGAUUCUUUUGGGGGAAGUUGAAAAGUUUUAAUGUUGAAAAAUCACUUUAAAAAAAGUUUCUACACAUCUUUUUAUCGAGUCAAUUUGAACUUUUGUGAUGAUCAGCAUUGUUAAUAGUAACAGGCUUGGAAAUAUUGUUAAAUGGUGCCUAAAGCUUCUUAGCAUUAACCUUAAUGGUUUUUGACCAUGUUUAUAAGUGUAAGAGCCUCUCAAAAGGCCAAAGCCACUCUUGAAAACUCUCACCACCUGCUUCAUCCCUUUGUAAUUGAUCAGUGAUCAACAUUUUAGGCAAUCAUGUCUUCCCAAUCAUAUACUGUAUGUCAGCUAUUAAAAAAAUCUGUGUAGAACGAAAACAUGCAAAUGACCUAACAUGACUGAGCUGGCUUCACAUACCUACAUGAAAAGAUUACAGCCACAGCUUUGUUGCUAAAACACACAUGCACAUCCUGCCAGAUUUACAGCAUCAAAAACUGCCUUAUGUCAGCUUUAGUCACUCUCCAAGGACAAAACACAAAGCCAAAGGUCACUCAGUUAUGUUAGGAACCACAUGGCUGAAAUUUCAGCAGUGUGAUAUUCUGUUUUAAGUCUCAAUUUUCCUGUUUUAUUGUAAGUCUAUAAUAAAUGUUCUGUGGUGAGUAAGGUAACAUUAGAUAGAAUCACUUAUUUUGUGAAAAAUCUAAUGCAGCCAAAGGAUGAUGGGGAGAAUAGUUUUCUUCCCUUACACAAAGACUAUUAACCAGUAGCCAGAGUCCCGACUGUUAAAACUGGAAAAACCAGAUAAAAUCCCUCUCAAUCAAAUUCGUCUUAAGAGUAAACAAACAUGGCAGACAGUGAGAGCGAAUUGUUGCUAGCUGCUUAGCCUCCUAGUCCAACCACUAAAGUAAACAUUUCUUUUCAACACCUCGCCUUGUCAUUUUGAGUCUCCUCAGCUGUUUUACCAAACACGAUGUGGAGACACUUAUGUUUUUGUCAUGUAUCAACAAACAGAUUCUAUAUUUGCUGUUGUCAUGGUUGCAUUAACACUGCUUCCAUCUCGAGUCAGCUGGCUUCCAGAGUAGCUAAUGUUUUGUUCUAUGUGACAACGCACAUCAUACAUUGCUGUCUGCUCUUGGGGAUCCCCAUUCAGGUUAAACAUGUUUGAUAGUAAUGAUUUCAGGUUGGGGAGGUUCUGAUUGUCAGAUCAGAUGGAAGCAAAACACACCUUGAGCUAAGACCACCUCUUCUAAGAGAUCCUGCCUGGCUUGUUUUGUUCUGUUUCAGAGUGCCUGUGUGUAUAUGUCUAAACAAUCUGGGCCGAGUUUCAGAGUAACGUCCAAACAAACCGUGGGUGAAAAAGCUUUAACUGUCUCAGGGUUGGAGGAGUUAGUAAUGCUGUGUGCUUUUAAGAAGUGCUAUAAAAAUAAACCAGACAUAGGUCUCCGAGAAAUUUCACUAAAAUUGAUGUCAUUACCUGUGAAAGCUAAGCCACUGAGAUGAAUUUAAUUUUGAUUUGUUCGUGGUUAUUUGCUCUCCCAAAAACCUGAUUUUGCCCCUGAAGUAAAUAGAGUAUAUCAUUGUUAUACACCAACAGAUUUUGCCUUACUAACAGGCUCAAAGACGGGUCUAAUGGAAAAUAAAAUAAUCAAUAUUUUAUAUCUUCAAGAUGACCCAUGAAUCCACUUUCUGUCUUCACUCUGACUAUUGUUAUGAUUGGAAAUACAUCUAACUGUGGCUGGCACAUGAAGAUCUGUGCACUGUAGCCUGACACACAUAAUCACACACAAACGCAUGUGUGCAGCUUCAGUGUAGAUACAGAAAACACACACACACACACACACACACACACACACACACACACACAGGCUCAUCUGCUCAGGCAAACAAUUUUUCCACCAUCCAAUUGGGAGCGGAUCACGCUCUCAUCCGGUGGGAGGUCUGGGGACCAUAAGCAUGACUAACAGAAAGCUCAGCUCACACUCAGCAAAGCAGAGAGAAACGAACAACAGAGCAGAGAAAGAGAAUGUUUAAUUUUUGUCACUUCCAUAAAAGAUUGACAGAGGGAGGCCAUAUUUUUUUUUCUAGAGACCUCCCUCCAGUUAGUGAAUGUGUUCUCACAUUUGUUCCAACCAAUGAGGAAGAGGCCUUGCACUGCAUCGCUUUCAGGAGGAGUGAAAGAAAAGUUUCACAAGUUUUCUGAGAAGGCAUUUUUCUGUGUUCCACUUUUGAGAAGUAUGUCAUUUUUUUGUCAGCGCUUGUGUGAAUGGAGGUUGAGAAUGAUGGCAGGGUUGCUGAGAGAGUUUUUGUAAUUGCUGUUAUCUUCCCAGGUUGGAGCUGAAAGAGCUAAAAAGUAUAGCUUCAAGUUUCCUUUUUUUUGUCCAACAUGACUGAAAAGAGUGGAAAUAGUCCUGCUGGGUGACAUUGUUAUAAAAUCAUUUGUGCUUUAAAAUCUCCAAUAGCACAGUUUGAUAUUGUCAUAGUCUCUGUUUUGUAAGUUCCUGGUUCAUUCUGCUGCCAGAUAUUGGUCUUGUACCUCAGUAAUGGAGGCUGAAUCAAUUCUUAAAAGGUCCAUAUCGUGGGGAACUAAAAUAUUUUCAAUUGUUGUUAAAGGGCAGGCCUUCCUGCAUGCACAUUCAAAACUCUGAAGGCGAUCCAGAGUGGUCUUAAACCGACCCACAUCAGCAGGUCACUCUGCUGUUUGUCUCCCUUCGCUGGGUCCCAGUUGUAGGUUGCAUCAAACUCAAACCCCUACAGGUCUUCAGGGUUUGCACAACUUCACUUCACCAGCGUCCAGUGAGUUUUAGAAUUGAUUUUAAGAUUUCACUGUUAACUUUAAAAGAUCACUCUGGUCUUGCACUCAAGAACAUUUCUGAUCUCCUCACUCCAUAUGAGCCUGGUCGUAGCCUGAGGUUCUCAGCCAAAGUUCUGCUCGGCAUCAUUUAGUCGAGACAGAGGACCAAAGGUGAUUGAGUGUUUUCUCUCAGAGCCCUCACCCUCUGGAACAAUCUCGCUGAGGAGAUCAGAGUGGUGACCUCUUGAUCAUCUUUUGAAUCUCUCUUAAAAACGCGUUUUUAUAGUUGUGCCUAACCUUUGCAGUGUCACCGGCAGCAUCUCACUCAUUAUAGCUGAAACUGCCUUUAGUACUGUUUGACUGGACUUGAAGCAGUUUAUGUAACUUCUGUUAAUUCCCCCUGUCUGGAUCCUUGCUUGUGUUGUAUGUACUCUCAGUUGAAAGUUGCUUUUUACAGAAUUAGACUGUAACAGUGAAAUAGUAAAUUCAUACAUGAAAGUUUUUUUUGUUUCACUGCAGGUACGGAGCUGUAUGAGUGAGCCUGUUGUCGGCUCUUGGUUCCACUCUUUGGCCUCUUGGAUACAUUCCCCUGCAGGUAAUUGAAGCUUUUUGUGCCAAAAGGUGUGUAUUUUCAUUAAAUGGUUAUUUUAUUGAUAAAAUUAGGGCUGUAAAGUCCUAGCCGACUGGAUGACUUAUUGGUGGGAUACGUGCUGUGUUGAACAAAAUUCUGAUUGGUUUAUUCCAAUCUUUUCCGCGUCAAUUCACAGUCUAUGGUUAAUUUCAUCAGGAGGAAUGUAUCAAUCUCUAAUGGGGGUGUUUUAGAGCAUGCCCAUUUUACAGGAACAGCCUGUCUCAGAACACCCCCCUUGUUUUCACCUUGUUUUGGAUUCGUCCAACCCACUGCAGACUGACUGAAGACAGGAAGAUUGAAGAGCGUCCACGUUAUAUCAGUAUAUUGUCACCCCGCAGAGCCACGUUCCACCGAGUCCACCGCUGCAGAAGGCCACCCCCCAUUAGUCAAUUUUGGUCGAAAAUUUCAGGGUUUUAGCUGACCAAGAAUUUCUUCGGUUGAUUACAGCCCUAGAUACAAUUGUGUACCAUCAUACUGGGGGAAUCUCUUCACUCCUCUAGACUUCAUGUCAGUUUAGGAUUAGGUUUUUCCACCAACAGUAAAUAUUUAUCUCCAGAGAUUUUCUGUCAGAUUUGCUCAUAAUCAAAUGCAAAUGACUGGUCUGUGAAAAUAAUUACCACCCUAGGCUCCAAUAUUGAACAGGGCAGAGGACUUUCAAAUGUGGAUUUAAUUAAGUUAAACCAUAGUGAGCUCAUUAAAUCUGAUUUACAUUGAGAGAUUUUUCUUUUUCCUGCUCUGAGAUCUGGAAACCACAGGAUGCUGAUGGCUGGAUAUUUCCUCAUCAGCAGAACUACCCGCUCACAAAGUCAUAUUCGGAUAUCAAAGCUGGGAAAUGGCACCAUGCUGCUUCAAAAUCUAUGCUUCACUUUACUAUGUAACACCCUCAUGUAGCUGGAUAAUUAUGGGGGUGAAAGCAGAUCAAAAGCCUUGGUAAGUCCAAUCAUUAAUAUGAACUGUAUUCGAGGAGUAAAGUAAUGAGGAGGCAAAGUCAGGGAUGAGACAGUUCAUUCAUCCUUUCUCCUGCAAGGCGUGGACUUUUUCAUUUAGUUAGACAUUAAACUUAAACAUUAAUCUGAAACCGUACAUUUCUUGAAGACAAGUAGCCAGUUAUACUAUAUUUGUUUAAUUUAUCUGGCUUCUGGGUCUGCUCGGUUCUGUCUGAGUUAGUUAUGAAUGCUUGUUUUAGGAAAACUUUGGGGGAAUAGGGAAAAUGUGGAAGUAGCCAUCAAUCAUCAUCCUGCAGCAUUAGACCAUCCCCACUCCAAUGUCACAGAGGAGAAGCACAUGCACUUGUCUCUCCGGCUGUCAGAUGGGUGAGGAGCCAGCUGAUUAGGAUGUUAAUGUUGUGUUAGCUGAUGAGGGUUGACUGUGAAACAUUUAGGGAUGGCUGAGCCUCCCUGGAGCUCUUACAGAAGGUGAAACUUGCAGGAGAAGGUGGUUGUUUUAAUUUUAAACAUCUUAAAUUUGUCAGUUUCUUCCAUUUGCUUUUAGCAUUUCUUUAAUAAUGAUUUCCUCUAUUUUCACUGAUAUUGUAUUACACAGGAGAUGGUGAGAAAACUAAAGGAAGGAUGGAGGGCUUAUGUUGCUCUGCAGGUGUGCUGUUAAAGGCUUCUGGAUGUGGAUCAGACUGUUAGUGUGAUCUCCUGUCUUGCGCACAGCAUCUGUGUGUACUUCACAAUAACUGUGAGUGGGAUUAAAGUGAAGGACCCAGUCUGUAGGUAAUCUGACACUGAUGAGUGGCUGCUGAGAAUAAGAGUACUGAUUGUGAUGUUUCUGAGGCUCAGCGUUGGAGAUUUUUUCUUACCUUCCUAAGUGCCUAAAAGAAAAAGAAAAAACAUAAAUGAUGGACUAAUACUGCUUUUAUAGUACAAUGGACUUUUGUAAGGUUGUGUUGGGAAGUGGGUUUUAAGUGGCCCAGACCAUAAAGCCACUGAAUGUACCAUUUUCAGCUACAAAGCAGGUGAAGAAACACUAUUAUUUUUACCCUUACUCAUUAUGUGUUUUCUUCAUGAAGCUAGCCCUGAUUCCAUCGUUUGUUCAUGGUUUGAGCUCUCUUUCUGGCAGAUCUCAUUAUGUAGAAUUGAGCAAUAUUUAAUCAGAGCUUUUACUGUCAAUCAGAGGUGUCCCAUAAGGAUCAGUCCUGGGCCUUGUUUUAUUUACUAUCCAUAUCAAUAACAUUGUCUCCUCUGUAAGUAAUUGUAACAUCCAUCUUUGUGCAGACAACACUCGUCUGUAUUGUUCUGCUGACUCUGUACAGCUCGCUGUAGAGAAAUAACAGUUUUGUUGAAAUAUCCUACUGAAUGUACUUGUUAACUGUGCAAGUCCAAGUAUAUACAUAUAUUGGUAUCUGGCUUGAUGAAUCAUGUGGAUUUAAAAACCAUAUUCAAUCAAUCAUUUUUUACAAUCACAACAAUCGUUAUCUCGAGACACUUUCCAAAAGAGCAGGUCUAAACCUAACUUAAUUGUUUGAUGUAUUGCAAAGACCCAGGCUUAGGGUUAGAGGUACACUGGAGUCUUUAAGGAUGUCUCCACAAUUCCAAUGUUAUUGAAUUUUGAAGGCAAGCGAAUAUUAAUUUUAACUCUAAUUUUGAAGAUUUUAUCAUUAAAGAAGUGCAAAUAGUCAUUGCUGCAGAGGGCUAAGGAAGUACACGGCUACAGUGCUGAAGAGAUACCUGGGGUUGUUCUAUUUUCUUCAAUAGGAGGAGUAGUAAGCCACCUGAGCACAUCACAAGGCUUCCUUUAUUUAUAAAGACAGUCCUGCCAGAGUUUGCGAGCUUCAGCUGUUUUGGAAGAGCGCCAUAGCCUUUCUUUUUUUCUUAGUAAUUGUCUAAGCUCACAAGUUUCAGCACCACAGAGCCAGCCUCUGGUGUUCAACAGUUUUCUGUUAAAGAGGAGUAACUGAGUCAAGAAUGACUCGCAGUGAGCCUGAGGUAUCACCAACGAGCUGAUCAAGCUGGGAACGACUAAUGCUCAAGUAUGAACCGCACAGUUAGAGGUUCAGCUGAUCAAAAGUCAGUCCUGAACUUGUGUUAUGAGCUCUGUGUGAUCUGUUUUCAUCCACAUUGUGUUAUAAAUGAAAACUGAGGAUCUAGACCACUGCAUAUUCAGUGAGUCUUUGUAGACUAAUUAUAAUGUGUGUCCUCAUAAACUCGGGGACUGAAGAAAAUAAAUAGAUGAGUUUCUUUGAUGCAGCUGUGUCUGUCGGGGGCACGAGUGUCUGAUGAGGGCCUGCAUGAAUAAAAGGAAUCCUUCUCUUUAUUUUCUUUUCUAUAAUAAUUUAAACAAACUUCAGUACCUCACAUGGAGCUGAAUCCCUGCCUCAGCAUGGAGAUUAAAGUAAUGUAUUCUUGGGUGUGUUGGAAUAAUAGCACAUUUUAUUGGUGUGGGUCAUGUUUGUGGUGCAGCAGGACUGUAAUUAAGAAGAAUGAUCGGGGAUGUUGAGGAGGGAGAACAUUAAAAUACCUCUUGCAGGUUCUGCUCACUACUGAAUUGGAAAAAGUGCAAAUGUCAGCCUGGGCUUGUUUGAUGUGAAUUUUUUGGUUUAUUUUGCCGCCCCUUUGGGGGAUCAGAUUCAAUCAAAUUCAAUUUAAAUCAGACCUUGGGGUCACUUUGUUAUGCAGGGGUUGUACAAAGCAGAAUGAGAAGAAGUGUCUGAUCACUAAACACAGUGUGCAGCAAUGGACAUAAAAUGAUAAAAAACUUAAGGUCCUCUUAUUUGGUGUCAGUCGACCGUAUUUAUGCAGGUUUUCUUUCAUGGACCAAUGUGCUAAAAGCUUGUUGCGAAAUAAGCAAAGUAGAGCGAAAGUGAAAUAUUGAGCUGUCACAGGACCAUUUCUGAGAUUAAUAAUAAAAAAAAAAAGCUUGGUGAAAACAGGAUCAAUGUGUUAAGUGUGAAGUCAAGCUACCAUGGACUGUGAAACUAAUGAACAGGUUUGAUAUCAUACAACAGAAAUCAUCUUUAAAAAGAAUGGAAAAUAAAAAAUAUACUAUGGGAAAAUAUUUAUGUUUCCAGACUAUUACCAAAGUUGUAAAAUACUGUUUUCUAAAAUAGAAAAGUAGGUAUUUCCAAAAAUAAUUCUAUUAUUAUGGAAAAGUAUGGAAAUUCCAACCAGGAACCCUCCUCACAGCUCACCACUGCCUAUGAACUGUCUCUGAUCCGAACCUGUCUCCCAGAAAUAUCCACUGAAAUUGCUCUCCCCAUCAGUCAAGCACACACAAACACAUGAGAAAAUAGGACCCUGGUGGGAGAAUACAACAGUCCCACUUUAUUUUAAUUUAAAUCCUCAUAAGACACACUGAGGAAGAAUCCUAACUUGCGAUGGAGCUAAAGAAGAGACAAUCGAGCAGAUACACAUAAUAACAGUCCUAAUCAACUGGACUAGGAUCACUCAAGCUGCAACCUCAGAGAUGUUUGCCCAAUGUUCCCUGACUGAUCUCAGCAUUUACUCUGCAGCUGACCACAAUGUUGAUGACUGUAGAUUCAGACUGACUGUUCACUGUGUUGUUGACAAAACACAACAUGUUUCAGUCUAUGUUGUGAGUACGUGUGAUAUAUGAGAGUACGAGAAAGAACAAGCAAGAAAGUGAGAGAGAGCCUCUUGUGCAGAUGCUGUAACCCAGAUUGUAAUCUUAAUUUAAGCAUAGAGUAUAUAAUAGAUACUUGUAAAGUACCAGUUUGAUCAGAGGUUCGCUCUGCCCCUCUCAGGGGACACUCAAUGCCUCUGGGUCUGACUGAGGGGGGCAUUAAUAGCAGUCAAUAUAAUAGUUCAAAAAGAGGAAGGUGACAGCUACGUAAUACCAGAAAAGACAGCAGGAUGUUGAGUAGUGGUAAAAUGGAGCUACAAGAUAAGCUGGCCCACUUAAAAAACCAAAGAGAAAGAAAGAAGAAAGAUCUUUGUAGACUGAAGUGCAUCCUCCACUUUUCCUUUCAUCUCAGUACAGAGAGUUUCUCAUUUUACUGACAACAGGCUGGAAAUGUCCUCCUACGUGUGAUGCUCAUUGAUACAGAUCCACCCAUGGCUGCUAAGUUGCCUUGAGACGUGACUAAGGCUGCUUCACAUUUUUUCAUAAAUUAAAGAGUCUCUUAAGAAAAAAAAAAAAUACGAGUAUUUAUAACUCUGCUGUUUUUCUUUACAGGAUGAUUCAGAUAAAAAUGUAGCACUGCCUGUCAUUACCACACUGCUUUUCCUGCUAAAAAGGAAGUUUUUCUGAAAGCUAUAGAAUAAUGAAGAUGGUGACUAGAUAACCAGAUAUUAAUAUGUAUUGUUUGAUGAUUGUUUUGACCAUGGAUACUUGCAGCAGCAUUGCUGUAUUGUGAGAUUAUCUUUACUCCAGGCCAAGUAUUGUAUAUUAUAUCAUGAGUAACUUAACUUAUUGUCAUUUCUCGUUAUUUAACUCAGUCUGGCUCUGACUGAGCUAGACUCUCUGUUGUUACAAUAAAUUUUAAACUUAUGAUUAAUGACCUAAAUGUGGCAGAUUCGGAUCAUUGGGAAUUUAAAAACUGUAGGACUUCCAGGUGAUGACAAACAAGAAGCUGUACCUAACAUAAGCAUUUCUAUCUCUUUCCAACAGAAAAAGUAGACCUUAGGCUAACCACAAUAGAGAAAAACUUGUUUGUGUCCUCGGGAAAAUUGAUUUUACCAUCAGAUUUUACUUCAGGGCUACUGAGAGGGUGUAGCAGAGCUGAUUUAUUUCACACAACAACAAUGAAUGCUGCCACCCACACUUAUCCUGUAGUAGGCUGAUAAUUAUAUUCAUCCAGAAACACAUGACAUCCUAAACAAUAGUGUAGGACAACAAAAAAAAAGAAGCUCUCCCUCUGUGUGUGUACAUACCAGAGGGACUGACUGUCGAAGGUUAUUCCCAGACCCUGAUAAUUGAGAGGUUGUGUAAAUACCAUCUGUGUGCCAGGUGAGAAAACUUCACCUUUACAUGGAGUGUGUGUUUCAGGGAGCAGGCCAGCAAUCUGCUAACACACAUCCUAAUAUUGUCCAGGAGCUGCUCACUGACCUGUGAAAACAUGCGAGUCAAAACAGCAGCUACUCUGCCUCUGUUGGUCAAGGAAUAAAUCUCCUGACUAAGCAGAGGAGGACGUGAGCAGCAUGCAGAACAAGAGCUCCUCUUUUGCAAUAUGUGAUGCAAGCAGGGACCACCUUUGCAAGAUUCCUCCUCUCUAUAGUUCCUUUUUCUUACGCUCUAACUCGUUUUUUUACCAUAUUUCCUUGAGGACUCACAGGAAAUGGAUUUCUACAAGACAAAUGGACAACUGUUUAUAAGGGAAAUGAAAACAGUACAGUGGUUUCAGCACGGUGUAAUUGAAUUUCAGUCAUGCAAAUGAGCUUGGUUUUGGUAGUUAGAGCGCUGUUGGAGUGUGUAAUUGAAAAUGGGAAAGAUUGUCUCACAUCAGAGUGGCCUCCACUCACCGCACACCUUGAUCUCCUCAGGAUUGAAUCGUUUUAUCCUGAUAAACUGCAGGUUUGUCAGAGAGAUCAUUUCUUUCACCAACCCUCUUACGCUUCAGCAUGCACACAGAAAAAAAUCACCUUAUUCCCAGCUUUGAUAAAUAUUUUUAGAGUUGUCUCUGUUAUUAGGGUGGGAGGCUGUCUGUUUACUGAAGCUGCACAGACUUUCUCAGGCUGUCUGCUCUACGCUGUCAGUGGAGUUGAACUUAUUAAGCUUGGUAUCACCUCCCCUUCCAUCAACUUUUACUUCCUUAAAGGGAUAUUCUGGUGUAAAAUUAAGUUAGGGUCAAACACACCAUAACACCGAGUAAGACAGGCCAUAGAGAGAUUCAUGUUGCCGACCGCUUGCUUCUCUAGUUAUACCAACUUUAGUAACGACCGCACGAUAGCAAUACACAGCGGUCUAUGUCUCCACGCACAAACAUCAACCAAAAAGCCACUCUGUAGCCCCAAAUAAUGCUCAGAACAGAACCUAACUUCAUUAACAGUACAUACAGGGUCCCAGCCAUAGUACUAGCCACCAAACAUCUUUUUAGCUGUGCCUGGUUUCUUUAGCAAAGAGACUAAACACGGCUCACCCACUCUCCUCCAGCAGCUGCUUGUUUGUAGGGGGAGCCCUGACGAGUCGAUCACCGACUGCAGUGGGGUGACACAGCUUAAGGAAGAACAUUUAUGACCUACAGACAUUAUGAUAGUUGAGGUUUGCACAUGGAGUGAUAGACCGCUGUGUAUUGCUAUCGUGGGGUCGUUGCUUCAAUUGGUGUAACUAGAGAAGCAAGCAGUCAGUUACGGUGUGUUUGACCCUAACUUUAUUUUAAGCCGGAAUAUCCCUUUAACUCAUUUGAAGGUAAAAUAAUGUUUCAGAAGAAGUCCUUAGUCCAGUUUUGAAACAGUUAGUUCUUUCCAAACCAUCAUCCUUUGUUUUUGACUCGAUCACACUUUGUUUUCGCUUUAAUAUCUCCCUCUUUCUGUAGAUUCCCAUGAACAUAGCCCGUCAGUGUGAUAUUACAGCCAUGGGAGUGUGUGAGAUUUGCGAUUUCAUUAGUGUGGAUCACUUGCUGUGAACAGACAUGUUCAAAAAAACAAAAGAAAAGUUAGUUGUCUCUCCAGACUUGGCUGAAAUAUCAUAAUUUCUUACAUUUGCAGAAACUGUGGAUAAUAACUGUGGAGCAAUGAAAUUAAAUCGUGGUUCCCAUCUGAUCUCACUGCUCGACACUGUUUGGAAAAAGAAUUCACAGCUUUAAUUGCUCACAGCAGUUACACACUGUGUUAUAAUUACCCUGUCAUGGUUUCAUUGACUUCUCUGGUUUUAUCUAAUGGGCAAGUCAAGAAAAAAGAAAAAAAAAAAACUGAAAUUGAAUUCCUCACAUUUCAUGUUCAGUUUGUUGAAGCAAAUUAGUGCUAAAGGGAAGUUUUUCUCCCUCUAGCAUGUAAAUACAGAUAUUCCCUCAGCUCUCAGCUCAAUUAGAAGAAUCUCAAUUUGUAAUGUAAAUGUGGAUCCAUUCUGGCUUUGAAGGGAGGAGUCGUGGUUUAUGAACAGAGAGGUAAAAAUGCAGGGUCUGCAGCUUCCUCCUGUGGAAACGUUAAGAGACUGUAGAGUAAAGAACAGCAGGCAGAUGUGUUUGAUUUAAUUUCAUGCUGUGUCAAGUGGUACAAAUUCAUAUGGCUAUAAAAUCUGAGAGCAGUACUAACAAAAGGAAUAAACUACAAGGUUUGCUCAAGCAUAUAUUUGAAUGAAUGUUCAAUUAAAGCACCUUAGAAGAGUUUUUUGUCUGUUUAUGAAAUUGACUGAAAUUAAUAUCGGUACUUUGUUUUGCUCUCCAAAAACAAACAACCAAAACCAAUAUCUACAUGGUUGAUGAUUUUUAUGAUUUUUUUUACGUAAAUGUGAAGUUCAUUUCAGUAACAAGUAGAGGUGUAAAAAUUCAUUUUAACAACUGUUUCAUGAUUUGUGGUUGUCGAUUUGAUUCAAGGACAAUAUUGAUUCAUUCAGAACAAUACGAUCCAAAAUGAUUCAGUAACUUGAAAUCGAUUCAGUAACUUUUUAGCCAAAAUAUCAACCAGUGUGACUGUGAAAUGAAUACCUGAAUACUGGACAAUGCAGGUGAAAUUUUCUAGAUUCCUGUUCCAUACAAUUGAUUUAUUCCAUUUUUAAAAGAUGUUAGAUUGAUAUAUGUUGUCCGAAAGGCCAACUUGCCAAGCACGGAUCGAUGUAGUCGGAUCAUAGGAAGAUAAAUCGAUACAUCGAUGAUGUUGUAGAUGAAUCGUUUCACCCCUAGCAACAAGCCCACAGUGAGUCAUCUGCUCUCUCUGUAUCUGUGUAGCUUUCUAGACGCCUUCUGCUUACUAUUUGAUUUCACAAUGCAAACAUUAUCUAUCUCUUUUUCCCUUCUGUAUCAACCACAGGACAUCCAUUCAUGAGCAAGGUCAUCGUCUUUGCUGAUAUUAAUCCGAGUAAGAACCAUUUAUUUAUCCCAGGGGAAAUUCGGUCAUUAUAAAUCACUUGGUUGUGUCUGAUAUCAUGAACUUAAAAGAUUGUUGGAGAACGUUUGCAAAUGAUGCUUUCUAGUAGUUUCAUUGCAUUUCAGUCAUCAGAAAAAAAAACGAAAGAGAGAAAUGAACCUCAAAUCACAGAUUGGCAGCUCAUGUAUUAAUUUCUUCACAGCUUAAAAUUGUGGCCCAAACAUCACAGCUUCUUUUUUACACAGAUAGUGACUUAAAAAGAAAGUUGGAGGAUGCCACCAGCUUCCCUUUGAUGCUUUUACCACUCUUAAAGCUCAUUAAAAUGACAGAGAAAUGUGUCUCAUAAUUCAGGCAGCAGGUGCAGUGAAAAGUUGGUUUUGGCAGCAGAGAGCAUCUCCUCUGGUGGGAUGUAAAUAUUGACUGUAGAAGAUUUAGUGUGAUGUGAAGAACUCUGCAGGAAAGACAGCUGACCAUGACAGAAGCUGUGAGAGCAGCUGCACACUUGUCUGUGUUUGGAGACGGAUCCAUUGAUUGUGUUUGUAUGUUUUUUGCUUUUGUGAUUUGUUGAAAAUGCCUGCAGUGUUCUUCUUCAAAUGCAGGAACAGUGCGAAAUGCAUUUCAACAUUUAGAUAUGUCUUUGUUUUUUGCAGACGUGAGUAUGUGUGUAUUUUUGAGACUGACAGGGUGCCAGGCUGUACUAUAGGUGGGUGACACUGUAAAGUCCUCGUGAUGUGGUGAGGAUGAGAGCUGUCUUGCAGGAGUCACUUUUGGUUUGCUAGAGUUUAGCUGCAGGCUGAGGUAUGAAAAGAAAAAAUUAAAAUGAACAAAAAAAAUAAAAAACAAAAACAAAGUGAGGAGUCAAGAUUAGAAAAUUUCAUUUAAACAAAAUUUAAAAAGGGACAGCAAAAAAAAAAAAAAAGGAUUGAUUGUAUUAUCAUGUUUUUUCUUCUCGGACCUUUCCAAUUCACUGCAUCGCAUGCUGAAUAAGGAUAUAAUGCUGUAAUGCACUUUGUGAAAUGAAACCAGAUGGAGCUGUAAAAACCAGCAUUGCUCAAAGAUUUAUAAUUAUUCUGCUCAAGCCCAUGCCCUGCUGUAGAUGUCACAUGGGAGGCCAACUUAAAUCUUUCUUUGAUACAUUAUACAUUUCCAAGCACACAAAUCACCCUCAAUCAUGUCGUCCAACGGUUAUUUAUAUGCCAAAGCUCCAUUUGAAUAUGAGCUUUUGAAACACAAGGAGGUGGAGCAACAAGCUGUCAUUUCAUUUUUACUCCAGUACAAUUAAAUAAUGGGAUCCAAAGUCUGAGAGAGGAGUAUCAUGGGAAAUGCAAGUGAUGUUAUCAGCACUUGUAACAGCUGGUUUUUGGCUUUACUCCAGUUCUAGAGUACUUUCUGGACAGGUCUUGGGUAUUACAUCUUGACUUUACUUUAAACCCUCUAAAACCCCUUGUCUGUAUUAAUUUAGGUGCAGAACAAGUUAAUCCAAUAACACUGCUUUUCAAUACACACUAUAACUGGAACAUUUAACAAAAAUAUUUUUAAAAAAUGACUGGCAGUUGAAUGUGGUAAAGAGUGUGUAAAAGGGAUUUAGACAAGCAUUGUAUUAAGAGCUGUCUAGCAGGGACUAGUACCAUGGAUAGCUCCCCCGUUGUUAGCUGUUGCAAAAACAGCUCCACCAUGUGUUCCUGUCUGUUUCUCUGAUUGAUUCUUGAGUAGCUCACAACACCAAAUGAGGUUUUGUUCACAGGAGAUGUGCCACAAACUCCCUCAUGGGAUUUUAAGAGGCAGUAGCUCAAUUUCUAUCAUCAACUGAAAAGUGAGAAUUUGUGGAAAUUCUCCUAUUUCCUAAACUAGAUAAAGUACAGAAGUACAGGAAAUGCUUUUAAUUUCGUUAUGUUACCAAGUACAAGAUUAACACUGUUUUAUUUAUUGAUUCUCAAAAUGAGACAGUAAUAGACCCAGGGGAAAGCCAGUCUAGCUCUGAGGAUGAUGAAGAGUUGGAUUGUGAGACUCCAUCACUCACUCAGCAGUUGAGGCAAAGACCAGGAAGGCUGAAUUUUAGUUUGAUAAUUUCAAGUGUGCUGUGCAUAAAUGUGGCCUGAUGGUACGAGAGGAGAGGAAAGAUAAAGUAGAGGAAUACAAAGGAGAAAAAAUGAGAAAUGGGACAGGAGGACAGAAAGAGAGAUGAAGAAAACAUACCAUAGAAUAGAGGAGAGACAGAAAAAGAGGAAAGGGAGAUGAAGAAAACAUACCAUAGAAUAAAGGAGAGAAAGAAAAAGAGGAAAGGGAGAAGGAAAAAAAGACAAAAGGUUACUUAGAUAAAAUUAUACUGUUAAAUUGUCUGAUUUUGAUAUUGAGCUUGUUUAUAUUUGUGGUGUCUUGUUUUAGUGACAGAUGAUGUUAUGUUUAGGUGAGGCCCCAAUGACUGGGUUUUCCUUGAGCUCCCAAAUGGCUAAAUACACCCCCGAUCAGAGGUAAUGUCUGGUGCAUUGUAAAACCCUAAAACUGUGCAUUCAUUGGCAGCAUCCUGUUCAGUGUAGUAUAUAUGGCAGGAAAACAGUUCUUUUAAUUCGACCUUUUUUUCCAGCUUCCAACCCACAGUAUAGAGAUCACUGUUAUUGUAACACUAUUUUACGCAGGACCGCACGUGCAAGCCUUUCCAAUUUUUUAUUCUGAGUAUCGUCAACUAUCAAGUUGUCAAAUCUGAGCACUCUCAAUCAACAGGGCAUGGGUUCACUCCAGUGUCAGCUGCCAAACAGUUGGUCUCUGGCUUGACCUUUCAGCAGCAGCCGGCCUGAUGCUAGUCUGAUCAGUUAUUUGCUUCUAGCCAUCUUACUUCCAACACUAGCUGUGUUACUGGUGUUGAGGCGUCAUCUAAGAGGCUUCAACAAACCCAAAAUGUUUCCAACAAAUGGUUGAAAUAUAGGAAGUCAAGCCUCCUGUUUUGUUCAUCUAAUAGUACAUUUAUUACAUCUUUUAUUUUUACAUUUACACGAACGUGAAAUAGAAUUUAUACUCUGCAAUGCACGAACCUCUGCAUAUUUCCACACAAACAUGUAGAGCCUGUACUGUAGAUGUCCCCACACAAUCUCAUUGAAAUGGGACCCCUCCUCUAUAGAAACUGUGUGACCUUUGAAUCCAUCUCAUCUCUGGCUGAAUGAAGAAUGUGGAACAUCCUGUGUGGUUCAGAAAUUAGUUCACAGUGAGCUGAGAACGAGAGCCCUGGAGAAAAUGUCUGUUAUGAACAACAUUCUUGUGGAGAGUAGAAGCAGGAGUUCAUGAUGUAUUCUGGAGAUUGGUGGUUCUGAAUGUUAGGACAGAUGGGAACCUCAACUGAGUCUAAAAAAAAUACUACAGCCCUCCCCUUAAUAGCCCUCCAUCAUUUUAGAGGGUUUUAAUUAUGCAUGAUAGAGCAUAAGCAUCUGAGAGUUUCUCCAUACAAAGUGUUUCUGCAUGUUGCUUUAUCAUAUCACAUUAAGAGACACACUAACACGCCCAAUCAAUCCAUUGACAGUCCGAGUUCUCUAUUUUAUGUGCUUGACUCUGUGUCAAAGAUUUAAAUUUCACGUUGAGACCAGUUUUGCCUUCUUUGGUACAUCAGUGCCUCUGGUUGUUUAAAUGUCAGGCCUAUUCUCUGUGUGUGACAAAGACAAACUCUGUUUUUAUCUUUAAUGGCUCUCCCUGCUGAAGUGAGAAAAUAAAACCAACAAAAGCUUUUUAAUGGCCAGGAGGAACAAUGCCAAGCUGCAGAGAGCGGCAAGGCACAAUGCCCACGAUGAAGCUUGUGGACGGCUCAGCUGGCUUGUUAAGAGACAACAGUAGUGACUGCAUGUGAGCAUUAAUUAAAAACAUUUGUGGAUAUCAGAUCUAGUUACUGAUAAACACAGUCAUAGAUAGCUUGUUUGGCUCCCCAGAAAACUUCCUCAAUCACCAGUAAGGCUGAACAAUUAAUUGCAUUUGCGAUUACAUUGCGGUAUGAUAGAAUGCAAUUUUCCAACCACAAAGGCUGCGAUUUUGUAUGGUCAUGUGAUCUGGUCAUGUGACGUGUGAGCAAGAGGAGGGAAGCAGAGCAGGUAGAGAGAGAAUUCAUGGAUGGAUGAAUAGACUCAAGUGUUUUGGGCAAUGAUUACAUCUUGACAUCGGUAUGUAGAUUAGUAUCAUGAUGUAUAUGAUGGCGCAUGCAUGUGUGUGUGCGCAAUAGUGUUUGAGCAGAGAGAGCCUUUGUGUUUGAAAUGAUAAUUGCCAGAAAGAACAAUUUGUGUAUAGUUAAUCUGAUAUUGUUUACUAUAAUACAGAUUGAUUUAUUGUUUGUGUUUUUUGAAAAAUGCAAUAAAAGAAGACCUUGAUAAAAUGCAUAUUAAAAUGCAAAAUCGCAUUUAGAUUAUUUUCCCCAAUCGUUGAGCCCUACUCACCAGCUGCUGUGCUUUCUAUUUCAUUCAGGAAGUCAUCAUUGAAGUUUGGUAAGGUCUUGUUUUUGACAGGGCCUGUGCAAAUACAAUGCCGUGUACACACUGUGUCAGAUAGUUGCAGAAUAACAAACAACUGAUUUCUCCUGGUAUUUAGGACAGAUCAUUAACUUUGAGCUCCUAGUUUGGUCUGAGAUGAUAAUAGCAUGUUAGAUAUUGAUCUGCUCCCACAAACAGAGACCUUAUCCUUUAACGGCUUUCUCUCCUUUUAGACAACCGGACACGUGAAAUGAAUAUCAAUGAAUGUGAACACUAAUGUGCCCGUGCUCAUGCUUGCGGAGAAAAUCAAAAGAGACAUGGGAUUCACAGGUCAUUAAAGCUGUCUUUCUGCACCAAUUUCAGACCAGCGCUUGUCUUAACAAAGAGCUAACCUCUUUGAUUCCCCACAUGAAAAGGUUCAUUUUGUUGUUAAGAACAGACUAAGUGAUCCUCAGAUUGCAAGCUUGGUGGCAAACCAGAAAAGUAACACAAAAGGAGUCUGUGCAUACGUCUGUUUGAUUUCAAAGAUGCCAUUCAAUGUAGAAAUGCCAGACUGUUACAUCAAUGUCAUUUAAGCAACAGGUAGGAAUGUGCUAUGAAUAAGGUAUAGAAGAAGCACAGGAAGUGGAGUAUGUGGAGUAUGUAGAGGACUGAAAGCUGAAGCACUAAUGUGGAGAAUGCAGGAAUGCUUAAGAAAGCAGAAAAAGCCUUAAGAAUUUAAGAUGCUUUGGUUGUUAACUUGUCCUUGUAGUCUGUAAGUCAAUACAGCACGCAGUCUGCUGUUAUAGUCGAGUAACUAGACUCUUUAACAGAAAUAGAUGUCUCCAACCAAUAAAUAAAAGAGAAAGAAAAGCAUAAAAUAUGAAUGAUAAAGCUUAAGAUUUAAACAACCCCCCAUAAGAGGAAAAGAAGUAACACUGAAGGGACUACUUGAGAACUCCAGUCACUUUACUGACAAUAAAGCGUCUUGUAAAGCUUUCGAUGUUGUUGUCAGCACUUUAUGACAUUAAAACGACAUGAAAGUGUUACAUAUAGCUCAUAAAGCUGCAGCUGUAAAAGACCUGCUCUAGUUAAGAGCUUCAUAACCCCACAACAGAUCAUGUGACUUUGAUGUUGUAGUUCUCCGUGUUAGGUUUUGGAUCUGACUGGACCCCAAGGCAGGGAUAGACAGAUUGAACGUAUCCAUAGAGUUUACUAGAAAACAGAGAAAGGAAUAACAGGCUGAUUUGACUGUUGGCCUUUUCUCCUGAACUUUUUUUUUUCUCCUAAAGCGUGUUUCUUCUGCUGAUGUUUCUGUUUCUGUCCUGUAUUCCCAACUCUCUGCUGAAGAAAGUGUGUCCUUUAUGUGAAAUGUGAAGAAGGAGCCAGGAAAGACCUGUAAAAAUGAUGAUGAUAUACUAGAUUGUUCAUUUAUUGCUUUGGUCUAUUCUUGAUUUACUCAACUUACCUAUAAACUGCGUAACCUUGUGCCUCUGUCACACACACACUUCAACCAUAAGUGAUGCUGACUCUCCAAAAACCAUCCUCUUGAGACCUUUUAUGAUGCGCUGCAUUUUAUUUUAUGACUUGCUGUAAAAAUGAAGCCUAAAGACGACUGAUUCUGACAAGUAAAAAACUAGGUCUGAACAUUGAAAUCAACUUUCUCCUCACACCUUUUUCGUCCCAUUUUCUGUUUAUUUCCCAAAUCAUUUAGUUCACUCCAAAAUUGAAAAUCCUCUACAGCACUUUUAGAUAUGGGUAAAAAGAUGCUCGCUGUUUGCAGAGCUUGCUUCAGGUAGAGGCUUCCAUGCUGCUCUCUACCUUUCUAAAGUCAUAAGAGCAACACGUUCCUCAAGUGUCGAUGAUCAGUGUGGUUUUGAAGGUCUAGAGGUUGUAGUGUCCACUCAGAUAUGUGUGUUAAAAGAAUGAAUUCAUUUAUUUUAUUACUUUAUUGUAUUUCAUUUUUCUCCCUUGAAAGUAUCCUUGAGAGGAAACGUACUUUGAACAUUAGUUUAAGAAAUCUCAUCAAAGUUCUUCUGAUCCCGAUCCAUAUUUAUGACACAGAUCUGCCUCUGUCUAAGCACACCACCACAUAAGUUCUUCCCGUCACUUUUUAUUUGACUCACUUAAAAGUAUACUUACUUCAGAGGCAGACAGAUUGACACAUUUAUAAUCUCACUAUGUGACUGUGGUUUUAAUGCUUGCACAGCCCACAUAGUUAAAGUUUAAGUAUUGGAUUGUCUCUGUGGGCCCUCAGUCUAACUGCGGCUCUGCGAGGCUCAGCAUAUUCGGCCUUCUUCAUAUAAGAGCUCACGUCUCCUUGUUUAUCUCAUCUAAACAACCACCAGCUCCUCUGUGACAUCCUGCUCCAACAUUCACCUCCUUCUUUACCGACACGACAUAGGGCCCACAGGCAACAAGCUGAAUCCAAGUGUCAUUGAAAGCCCAUCCAUGUCCCAAAUGUGUCCUCCAGGCAGAAAGUUCUGUGUUUUUUUUUUCCUCUCUGAACAUUCAGCAGAUUGCUGCUGCUCUAAAAUCCCACCAGGGAGAGGAGAUGUUGAGCAGAAAGAGUGGGGAAAAUGUUCUUUAUGCAAACAUAGAUAUAUCUGGAAGCUGCUGGAAGUUUCACAUACCCAAGGCUCAGGCCACAGACUGUAUCUAGAAUGGAGGUUGUCUGCCUCUUCACUGAGGGAAGCCACCACGAGAACAGCACCCUCUGGUGACAGGCUGCAGUAUACGUCAUAAAUCCUACCUCUUCCAGCAAUCCCUAUGGACAAACUUUAGAAAUUAAUUACACAGAAUAUAAAUUUCUCUCCCCCCUGGUUGUGAUGUUGACAUGUAGUUACUGUAAGACUGGUUUGUACUCAAGUCCUCUUUUUUUUCUGUACAGCUCUGUCUGAAGCAAACCACCCAUUUAUGUCUUUUUCCUUUGCUCUUAAUCUGGACUGAAACGUACUAAAAUGAUUGAUUUCAUUUGUCCUCUGUCACCUCUUAUAUCAAGUUAGAAGGUUUUAGUCAAGUUAUUUUGAAGACAUUCAGCAACCGUCAAAAAUCAUCUUUCUAACUCGACAAGUCUCAUUUACUCCACCCGAGCAGCUCUGACAUUUAUAUCCAGCCCUCUGAUAAGGUAAAAUACCAUUUACACUUCAUUGUCUGUGGCUGAAAUAAAAGUUCACUCUCAUACUGACAGACAUUAGGGUCCAUUGAUGUUGAGUUUAAGGUCCAAAGCAGUUCCACGGAAGAGCAAAGCCCUAAAAAGUGCAAAUGUUUUACAGAGGAAAAUGGCACAGAAAGAUCAGGUCUUGUAUCAAAAGCUUUUUAAAUGUCAUCUUUAGAACAGAUAUAAGCUGUGGGUAUCUCUUAAAAUACAAAAUCAGCAAUGUGAAAAGGCUAGAGAUAACUAUUCUUCAGAGACAACAGACAAAGCAACAAAUAGCAAAAUGCAAAUGGCAGUCAUUACAUUCUGAUAGGACCACUUAGGUACUAUCAGAAUAUGGAGUUGAGAUAUAUUUAUAAUUAAUGCAGUAUUAUAACAGUUUGCAUGCAUGCUGCUCAAUAUUCUUAAGCUUUUGGGAAAAGGAGGUUAUGCCAAAAAUUGGCCAAGACUCCAUUCAAAUACUCAAUUAUGGCAUUGGGUCACACUUGGUAUUUUAGUGAGUGUUUGUAAUAUUUGACUUGGAUGGGCAAACUAUACUAUGUGAUUAAAACUCUGCUCAGCAUUUGUCCCCUUGUAAAGCAUAUCUAUUCACUUACAUAUGAUCUAGAUAUGAUCCAGAUUCUUAUAGAUAUUCAAAAUAUCUCUUGAUAUUUGGGUUUUGGGAAAUGGUUACAUAAAAUAAAUUUGACAGCUCAAGGCUUCAAAUAAGCCCGCAUUUCUUAAUUUAGUUUUGAUGGUCUAUUGGUGUCAUAGAAAGGGGCACAUUUAGCACUGUGAAUUAUAUCUUCAACAGUUUUUGGCAGUAGGAAGGUAUUUGGUCCAAUUUGAGUCAUGGUAGAUGGAGUCAGGGGUAGUGUGUCACAUCCCUCUGAGAAACUGAGGGAUCUGAUAUCAUAAACAGGAGCUCAGAUUCUCAUCCCCAAACGACAUGGCUGUCUGUUUUGUUAUUUUUCAAAGUAAGCAUCCCUCACACUGUCAAAGCUGAGCUCCAGCAGUCUCUUACUGUGAAUCAUCUCAGUGAAGGCUUUUAGUUUCCUAUCAGUGAGGCGGUGAUGGAUAACAAUGCAGUUUAACUCCCAUGUCUGAGGAGGUCAAAUAAAAACACGCAAGACAGAAACAAACAAAGAAGUACUUUUUGAAAGUAAUGACCUCGUUAUCCUAGUUUUAAAGGCUUCUUUUCCCAUAUCAGUGUCUACAUUUAAAUAAAUACCAUUUUGAUCAACUGAGGUCUGUUUAUGUUUAGCUCUGACUGUGUUUUUGUUUUCAGUCAACACAAUUUUGCUAGUCGCCAUAGAGACAAAUAUUUUGAAUAAUUUCAUUGUCAUAAUGGAAUAAAAGUGACUCACUAAAAAUGGAACUGAUGCUCCUGCCACCCAAAUUUUGGCAUGACUAAUGCAACGAAACAGAUCCAACAGCUUUAAUAGAGGUGGACUUAAAAGCUCCUCCAAAUGAAGAAGAAUUUUUCUUUUUCCUAAUAAUAAUUAAACUAAGGACUGAUUUUAAUAAUGACUGACCUUGUGUUCACCCUGCAUUUCAUCUGCUCUCAUUUAGGGUCAGAGCAGGGACAUGACACUGAAAUAUGGACCCUCUGAAGCAUAAAGACACUUCAAAAUGAAGCAUAGCACUCCACACCUGUAUUACCUUAAAUGUUCAUAUAAACAGAAAUAAACACUUUGCAACAUACAGUAUGUUGAACUCGGGAUAUAUUUGUUUGAAUUACAGUUUGCACAUGGCGUCUUACAUUUAAACUUGGAACAUGACAUUCAUUUGACCACAAAAUUGUAUAAUUGUUCAAGUUAAUACUUAAGGCAUGAACAGUAAAAACACAAUAGUUGAUGAGGUCACAACAUGAGUAUUAAAACCCUUAAAAGUCACAUAAUAAAAGUCUUGAUACUUCCCCUUCUCUUCGGUGAUUGAAGAGGAUGACUUGCGCCAGUGUCAUUUAAGCAACAUCUUUCCAGUUUGAAGGUGAAACCUCCUCUUUCAGGGCAUCCAGGACUUGCUGCUGUUUUUCAGUUAAAAAGUAAUAAAGUAUCUGGACGUCCUGAGUGAAUGGCAGGAACUGUGGAGCAUUCCACUUUGACUGUUCAAGUUGAGUUAAUGCUUGGCUUACAAUGUCAAAUUUCCAACUUUCUUGAUACAGCUGUGGAAUUCGUCAGCAUCUUGCACAGUUUUUUUGUCUCUCAUUGAGAUGGACAUUUAUAUUUUCCAAUUUCUUCACUGAAUCCAGCCAGGAAUCUUGCAGAGGAAACAACAUGCACAUAGUUCUCAGGUUUGAUUAGCUCUUUGAUGGUCUUCACAGGUACGACCUCUCUUGCUGCAAGAACCAGCCUGCAAAAUGAGAAAAAAUGAAUUAAAAUAAGAUUUAUGAUUAACUUACCUACAUGACUAUAGCGACACAGUCUUCAGUGUGCACCCCGCACAACUAUGUGAUAUCGUGGUGGUAUUGAAAUUGGCAUUCAAAAUUUUGUAGACUCUCGCAAGAUUUUGCUGACAGGGUAGUGACUUCCUGUAGUGUGUAACCACACUUCCUGGAGUGUGUAUAAGCUGCAGUUUCGGGUUCCCACCUACAGGGGAGCUUUCCCACACACACUUACACACUGAAAAUCAGUUUUUGUCACCUUGUAAGCCAAGUGAAAAAAAGCAAGGGGAGUAUCAGGGGAGGCUGCUUAGCUUAUUAAAAGGGAAACAGGUGUGGGGCCUAGCAUUUUGGGCCCCACGAGGUUACAUGGCCUCAUACCGUUGGUGUGCUCCCUGUACCUGGACCUCACCAUGCCACAAAUAUCAGAGCACACACACACAAACACACGCACACACACAUACAUAAUUAUUGCAUUUUUACAUUCAGCCUAAAGGUCCACACAUUCAUAUUCUGUGACGGGAUCUUCUCCAGUUGGUCAGAGGGUCAGAUGAUAUCCUACACAUAUAUGGGGAUGAGUACAGCGCCAUCCACAAGCUGCCCUACAUCAGGAUCUUUGCCUUUCAUGGGACUAAUGCGUGGGACAUGUAGGCUAAAAGGUGAGAUGGAACCAUAUGUUGCUGAACUUGAGCUCCUGGUGGGCUGGUUCAGCCCGCCCACCAUCAGGCCAGGAGGGCAGACGGUCUUAGGGCAGGCCUAGGGCACUCCUUUACUACAUGGUUCAAAACAGGGACAGUGGAGACUGCAACUCGGAGGAUUCUGGGAAAGGCACCCUGCCUGCACAGACCAGCAGAAGCCCAUGGGAUAUUUUGCAGAGCAAUGACCUUUGCACUCACAGUGUUAGACUGUUACAGCUGCUGUUAGAGCUGAAGCUGGUCAACUGUGUGCUGAUAGCACCAUCCAAACCUGCUGGAUAGAGAGAAACACUGUCAAAUUUUGUUCCUCAGAUGAGUCAGCUCCCUCUGGAGGAAAAAAAAUUACUAUCCUGCCCCCAAUAAAACUAAAUUGAACCCUGCAGUCCAGCUGUUAAUCCACCAGACAGCAAAAAAAAAAGAGUUGUUUCUGUACAUAAAGGGAUGAUAAUGGUGACGAUCAAACACUUACAACCUGUAUUUGUCACUUCUAAAUCACAUGAUGCUUAGAAAUAUGAUUUUAAAAAGACGAGGAAAUCUAAGUCAUGGUUUGUUUGAAUCUUACCUUGAAAUUAAUCAUCAGGUGUUUCACUGGUCUUGUAAAAUAUUAUUUUUUAGAAAACUACUUUCAAUAGCAAUGCUAAUGCAGUACACAAAGGCACUACACUUUUCAAACUCAGAUUAUAAUCCUUUUAUAAUCAGAAGUAAUGCACAUCAGAAUGUGCUUGAGGAGGAGCAUUUCUGCAACAGGAUAAGAUUUUGACACAUCAAAUCAAAAUUUUGGACUAAGAUUAAAAUUUUCUGUUUGUUUAAAUAUUCUGCAUAAGCCAAAAAUGAAAGUUUUCAAAAUGUUUUUAAAAGUUCACAAUCCUAUGGCAAACAAGGUAAGUUUAAAAUUUUAAUUUAAAACACAAAUGUGAAAAGGAAAAGGAACUGAAAGGAAACAACAAACCAAGACUAAAAGGUGAAAUGUCUCUAAAUGUGAUUCACAGAUCAGGCGAAGGUUAAAAACUACAGACUUCUUCUCUGGACAAAGAACAAUGAUGUUCUGGCAGCAGCCUUCCCCCAGCUCCUCAAAACCUGCUGAUUGCUGAUCUGCAUCAGCUGCACUCAGCAGGAGCUCCAUGAUCAGUGAACACACAAGUGUGAUGCUUCUGUGGUCACUGAGGGGGGAAAUACAAAACACACAGGCCAACAGGAAAACCAAAAAACAACCAAACAAUCAUGACAGUUUGACUCUUAAAAUUGAACUUUCUCGAGUUGCUGCUGUCAUUAAAAUGCCUUCUAAACUGCCUAUUUGAUGGCAUGGAGGGGAUUUUGUUGACAGGAUUAUAACAUCAUCACACGUCUGUGCUUUUCUGAGGAUUGUUUUCAUGUUCUUACCUUAAAACUGUCUGUCUCAAAAAAGAAUUUAACAUCUUCUGAGUCCAUACAACAAGAGGUCAAUGAUUCCCUGGGCUUCAUCUUGUACAAAUGAACAUUAAGAUUGUUCUAAAUAUUCAAUGCUGUGACAAUAAAAGGUGUGAGGAAUAUUCCAUUUUCUGCCUGAGAUCUAAACCACAGCAGAUGAACCAGUUGGCGUCUCUUUAGAGCGGAGCUAUAAUGGAGGGCUUUGCCAAUUUCUCAACCCCGACUGAGCAGGAAAUCUGCCAAAAAUCCUCAUUGCUUUUCUCUCACUCCAGAGGUGAUGAACCCAAUGAAGGAGCCGAGCUGGGAUAACCCCCCACGCUCUGCCUGCAUGUCAUGCUCUGUUGUGUCAGUGUUGCUGCUGCCUGGUAUGUGGGUGGAGCUGUGAUGGGUAGUGUAUACAGAUAGGAUAAAGGUCCUUUGAGCACCUGAGCCUACUGCUUAUACCUCUUUGUACCUCUUUAUACCACAUUACACAACUUUUUAACUCAUGCAUAGAUGUCAGAAAUGACCACUUAUCCUCAUACUGACACCAGAUACUUGAUAAUUUAUUAUUCCAGUUCAAUAAGUAACUUGUUGACUGUUUUGUGUCUAGCCUUGACUCAUUGUUACCAGCACUAAACCACACAGUAAAAGAGUCCACAAGGUGUGUUUAUCACACACUGGAUCAGCACAUGUGCUUUGUCCUCACAGUGCUUUGAUACAGCAAAACAUACACAGUGCAUUUACAUGUCAUCAGACACUUCUACUUAGAUCACUUUACUUUGUUACACAGCUUCUUUACCAUGUUUUAUACUAACAGCAGCCAUUUUUCUGUCUGAUUUAGGAUGUAACUUAAACACUAGAUCUAGUCUUAUCUGUAGUAAUGAUAGUGAAUUGCAGUAAACAGGGUGACUACACAAACACUGCUGCACUUUCAAACCUGUGCACAUGUGCACUAACACAAAUUCCCAAGUGGACGGAGAGUGUGUUAAUUGUAAAGUCACAGUGUGUUUGCUACGCUAAAAGCUCCCUUUGGAAAUUCCUGCUGGUCGGCUUAUUAGCCAUGAAGAGUGAGGUAGAGUAUGUUGGAGAAUAACAUGUGAAUGAAAACACAGUUUCACCCUGAACAAAUUAACAGUUUUUUUCAAAGAUAAAUACCCUCAGGGGUGGGACUGCUGAUGAAUGCAAAUGAGUCUCUAAUAUCUGAAAAUAGAAGAGUGAGAUUCCUGCAGGAGUUAUUUUUGUUAUUCACGGACUGAGCGGGUUAAGAAAGCAGGUUCAGUGUCAGGUUAUGGAUAAAGUGGAUUAUUCUGAAGUCUGUCUGCUGUUUGGUUUACAGAUCAGGUGUUUUCAGUCAUUAUUUGCUGUGAUAUCACCCGGUGAAAAGGUUGGAAUAAAGAUGCUCCCCCCUGUGUAUCAGUCUUAUCUUGACUCCUCUUCUCUGUGAUGGAGUUUCUUUAAAGGUCACUACAAACAGGUCUGUCUCUUUCCCCAUUUCUCUUAUUUUUAUACGUUUUCUAAGAAUUGCAUUUGCACAUUCGCCUUGGGUUGAAUGAAUAAUGAAUGAAAGAACUUUUUUUGGCUACAAUGUGGAAGUUUGUCUUCAAUUUCACCAUAGAAUCACACAAUAGUCCAGACAUGAGGUCAUUGGUAUCCUCACUACUGAGUUCACUGAUAAAGAUCUCAAAUAAGCCUUUGACUGUCGAGGGUUGGGAUUUAUUUUCUCAAAAAAUAGUAAAAAAAAUACUUUAAAAAAGAUCAAGAUCACAUUUAAGACUUUAAAUUUUUAUUUCUUGUCAUACAAAUGUCGUUGUGCUGUGUUUGACAUACUACUAGCGUAAGCUCACAAAGACAAUCUAUGGAGGGGCGGAGCUCUAACAUGUUUAUCUAUGCAGGGUUUGUUAAAUCUUUGAAUACAACAUAUAUUUUACUUUAUCUCAACUAUCAUUCUCCCAAGGACCAGUUUGGUUGUCUAUGUCUACAGCUUUCACUUGAUUUCUUACAAUUGUUAUUUAUUUAUUUAGGUGAAAAGCCAUAAAAUGAAAGCAAAUACACAGAGCAUAGUAAAACAGACAUAAUGUUGGACUCAGUGGGCAUGACCUCAUAAGCCUGCUUUACUGGUAAAAAUCCCCUUGGACUUGACCUUUUUUUAAUGUAUUUUAUUAUUAAUUUUUUUUAUCAUUCUCAAUAAAGUAAAAGAAAAUUUUCCAAAAUUAAAAUAUGCAGUAUUUCUGAAGGCUUCAUUUAUUUAAAAAAUAUUUUCCCCAUCUGAGCAAGGGUAUUUUUGUUCAAGACCAAAUUCACCUUCUGCUCCUCCAAAAAUAUUCUUGUCUUUUAUACAGUCUGCUUUCAUUCCCUGAACAUUUCACCUUUCCUUCACCGAGGCAGAGAAACAACAACAGCAGAAAAAAAGACCUUUGAAAAUAAAGAACUAGCGAGAGCAAGAAAGAGAAAAACAAAGUGACAAGCUGACAGAGUCUAGUCUUCUGAGGAGAAUCAUUAGAUUGAUGUAAUAUUCAGCGUGCAGCUUAGAGCCGAGUCUUUGGCUGUGUUUUUUAGCUGUAGUGCUGGUCAGUGGGGCUGUAGCUGGUUUGGAGGUCAGCCAUUGAUCUGCAGAUAGAUGCAGCGACUUUGAAUCCAAGCCUUCAUCAUCCUGCAGAGCCACCACCACAGGGCAGAUAAGCCUUGAUCUGCACAGGGGUUUGCUUAUGUAGCCAUGUGUGUGAGGUGCUGUGUGUUUGCUGAAUGAAAAGAUGAAAAGGACUGUUUGUCUGUGCGUACACAAAAGAGGCUGCACUAGGUUUGUGUGAGAUGUUUGUGGUGUGUUUCUUUUUUCUGACAGUCCUGAUUGGCAGAAUGAAAGACAGAGACAAGCAAAUGUUAUGUAACUGAAAAUUAGUGUCCAGUGGUGGGUAGUACCAUGAGCUUAUGUGUUGUUUGCCUCCUAUAUAUAAAAUAUAUAGCUGGAUGCUGUUGGAGUUGUUGAGGCUGUCUUUAUCAACCUGAAAAAAGUAUUAGAUGCUGUCAAUCAUCAUAUUUUGCUGAAAUUGUUGCUAAAUUGUUGUCCUAUAAGUGUAUGCAGAUGAUGCAGUUUUGUAUGUUUAUGCAAAAGACAAUGAACAAGAUGCUAAAGAAUUGACUUAUGCCAUGACUAUUGUGAGAGCUCUCAGCUUCAUCCUAAGAUCUCUAAAACUGUCAAUAUGUACUCCAGAAAACCAAAUAACAACAGUGAUCCUAACAUUUUUGUACUGAAUACAAAGAGGUAGUUCAAGAAUUUAAAUAUCUAGCUUUCAUUGUAAACAGCAGGUAAAAAACAAUCUCAUGUUUUUACAUGAACAUGUUCAUUAAUGCAUAUCGUCCCAUUUAAAAAAUGAAAGUAAAAAUAAAUAAAUCUUAAUCUUUGCAAAAUAAAUAAAUAAAAAUUCGAAAUUGCAGCUAAUAAAAGUUACACACAAAGCCAAUUUGAGCGAAGUGAAAAUUGAAAAAAAUUAAAAUAAAUAGAGAUUUGACUGGUUGACAGGUUGAUUUCAGGUUUUGGGUAACACAGUUUGUUAAAGGUGAACUUGUGUUCAUUCAGACGCAUAGUGAUGGACUGACUGUUUGAGUAAAUAUUGAGAUUCAGAUCUCUUAUGAUGGAAAGUUUGGAAAAUAUCAAAGAUUACCUACAUCAGUGAACCUGUUUGAUUUAUUUGUUUUUUUGCAUCUGAGGAGAGUAAAGGCAAUUUCAGCUCGUCAUUUUUCAAUAAUGUGAACCUGGCAGAGAGCAGAGGAGGCUGUUAAGAUGUACUAAACUGGAUUUAACCUGACCCUGAGAAAAGACUGAAUGUUUGUCUGCAAAUUCUAGAUACUGAGAGCAAACCUGAGAUUGAUUUUUCAUUUGCUGUCAUUUUUUCUUGAACUGAGCUGACAUCUGAAAACCUUUUAUGACACCUCUGACACAGCUUUCAGAUGGACAUGAAUAUGUUUUACUGUCAAGAUGGUUUUUACCUUUCUUGUCACAUCUUUAUCACUGUCUGCACUGCUUUCCAACAGCUUAAAGCAAAUUUGUCUGCACCAUUAAACACAACAAGACAUGAAGCACAGACCAAACCUGGAGAAGACUACUCUCUCACACCAGCUUGAAUCAUUUAAUCAAUUGAAUCUGCAAAUCAUGCUCUCAUGGUCAAAAACAUCAUUCAGCUUAAUGGUAAUCUGUUACAACUGAUCACCGAUAGUACCUGGACACACAACCACAGGCUCCAUCCCCACAUCAGUCUUCAAUAAAUCAAUGAUCUAUUAAGUGCCUUAAAUGCAGCUCCACAUCAGUCCUAGAACAUUUUUGUGUUUGCUCCCAUUGUACCUGUGGCACCAUGGGUAAAAAGUCAGCCAAAGUUAAUCCAACAAAUACAGAUGGGUCAGGUUUCCUUCAUUUGACUUCAUUUAGCCAAGUUAGUCCUAGUUUUUUUUAUUUUAUUAUUAUUAUUUUUUUUUUAUUUAAUGGCAGCAAAACAGUUUCAGCAACAGAACAACUGCACUCAUACAGUAGAACUUUAGGUAACACUUUAUAAUAGGGCCCUGUAAUACCUGGGAUGUACCGUGGUAACUGCAGGGUAAUACCAUGGUAGUACCAGGGUAACUGCAGGUUACCAUACUAAUCCAGUACUACCCUGCAGUUACCCCGGUACUACCCUGGUAUUAUCUUGCAGUUACCCCAGUACUACCUCGGUAUAACCAUGCAACUACCCCAGUACUACCCUGCAGUUACCACGGUAGUACCCCAGUAUUACCCUGUAGUUACCCCGGCAUUACCCUGGUACUACCAUGCAACUACCCCGUAACUACCCUGCAAUUAUCUCUGUACUACCCCAGUAUUACCAUGCAACUACCCUGGUACUACCCUGCAAUUACCCCGGUACUACCCCAGUAUUACCAGGCCGUAUUAUAAAGUGUUACAAAACUUUAAAAAGUCAUGAAAGAACUGAGAUAAAAAUGCAUCCAGCAAAAUAACAACUUUUUACCACUAAGACCCUCCCCAGGUUUUAAAUUAAAGUUUCUUCCUUGGCACAAGCUCAUGGCUUUUCUGAUUUGGACAGGAAUUCAUUCCUCUGAGCCCCUGUCUGUAUCAUUGCUCUUCGUCUGUCAUCAGGCCCAGAGUGGGUAAUCAGGAAAACAGGGGCAGUUCCUGGUGGGAUAGGCUGGUUGUAAGGCUGUCAGGGGCUGGUUGACAGUGACAGUAUCAUACGGCUGCACUUGUUCAGGGAGGUUACAAGUAAUCUGCUCAGGAUUUGAGUCGUUUCUUUUGACAGUAAAUUUCUCCCACAGCCAAACAGUGGGCCUACGUUUGAUUGGGAAAGGCUUUUUGGACAAGGAGCAAGGUUAAAAUAAAAAUAACGGAGAGAACGUUAUUCUCAUUUUAAUAACGUUAAAAGAGAGAACGUAUUUCAUUUUUGUCCUCGGCACACAGAAACACACUGAAGCAGCACCAGGAGUUAGAGUUUGGUCAGCCCAUAAUUAUUCUGUACCAUUCAGGCUACUUCAAAGAGCUUGCACGAGGUCAUCAUUCACAAUACCAAGGUAACUUUUUGUUCACCUGCUGACUAUUAAUAUUCAGACAGCAGCUGCUGCUCUUGUAAUAUUGCUCUGUUCAUAUUUUGGUAGAUAGUGACUAAAAUAAAUCUUGGGUGACUUUCAUUCUUAUUACUCUAAAGACAGUUUCCUGUCUUUAAUGAUCUGGAAGGAUCGGCUUAUUACUUGUUAAUAUUGAGGACGGGGCAGGAGAGGAAAUGGGCAAUGGACAUCGACAGACUUUCUUAACAAGUUAUCAAACUUUUACCAGUGAAUUGAGUCUCUUCUUAGAACCCACUUUAAUAGACUUGCUUUUAUGUGAUAUCAUCCUGACUUUGCUUUUAUUGCUUUUUAUUACCUUUUACCUUUUUGGUCGUCAACUCAAAAUUAAUUUCAUUUUACGUUUUUCUUUGUCUCCAUCUCUUUCCUUUUUUACUCUAAAAAACUAACCACUUGGUCCCAGUUCAUGUUGUUUUAGUUUUUUUGCUGCUUCGACUCUUAUGUUUACGUCUUGUGUUUUGUUUUAUUGUUACUGUGGGUCCUUAAACCCUUGUUUUUGAAGGUUCUAUAUAAAUUAAAUUAUCAUUAUUAUUGAUGAUUAGUGUGGUUGUGGCUGUGAUUGGUGAUUCUUGGUGAAACAGUUUCAUUAUGAAACAAUGAGUGUUGUAUGUGAUUGUGUAUUGUGGUUUUAAAGGUCAUUGUUAGGAUUCACUGUCAUAGUUAACACUAUCUCUAAAAUGAGUUAUCAAAAUUUUGAUAAAAUACCUCAAUAACUUUUUGUUUGUUUGUUUGUUUUUCAAACCUAACUGAGCUAUCCUGUCAUAUUACUGCUCCAUCAUGUGAUUUCACUCUGACUACAUGGAAACAUUUGAUUCGGCUCUGUUGCUUCCUCAGCUGCUAUACUAACAGGACAACUGCGUCUUUGACAAGAUCAACAACUGUAGUGUAGCCACAUGUAGAUCCAAUGAGAGAGGCAGAAUAUCUGAAAGGAAACAAAAAAAAGAUAAGUAAAGAAGACCAAAGUGUGAAGUAAUGAGACACACCGCUGAACCAUCAGGCGGAAAUGAGCUUUGCGUGUCUAUUUGAUUUUUAUCUGAUUGAGUUCAUUUUGUUCUUGGUUUGCUGCAUUGAUGCACACCAGCACUUUCACCUUGGUCUGAUAAUGAGAAGAACAUCAUCAAAGUCAUUACUUGACUUAACGCUCUCUUUAUUUCUUUGUCUGUCUCGGCCUUGAAAAACACUCCACACACAACUAUUCCUCUGUUAACCGACUCAGAGCGGCUCCAGUUUCACCUUCUCUAUUUAUCCAAACAGCUUCCAGCUGUUUUAUCUGUCAGUAGCUAUCUCAUUAAAUUUACUCCAGGUGAUGGAGAGAUUUUUUUGUUUGUUUUUCCAAUAAGAGAGAUAGAGAGGGGGGAAAAGAAAACAGCUUGUGUCAUUCAAUAACUGGAUUUAGCUUCAGGUGUUUGAGAAUUAAAGGACAACAGACAACUAAACAAGCUCAGCGUGAUUUGACCAGUUUCCCCUCCGGGCAGUAACUGAAUUAGAAUAAAUGAAUAUAUGAAAAAUUAACUGAGAAAACAUGUUCAGACAUGAGUUAUUGUGUGUCCUUGAUUUAUCAGAAAAAAAACAAACACCUAUGUUAAUCUCUGGAGUUUUCUUUUUCAGUGGCUUUAAAGUUUUUAAUUGGGUCAGUAAAUGAAACUUCGGAGCCUGUUUGUGUGUCUUUUGUGUAACAGGAUUUUUCCAUCUGGUUCUGCCUUUAGAGAAAUGUUCCUGUGAUGUCUGAGCUGAAGGGGUUUUCUUUGUUCCUGAGCUGAUAUCAGAGUAAUUGAUCUUAUUUUCAUUUAUCUCCAGCAGCUCACUCUCUGCCAGCACCUUAUAUCAGAUACACGGGGUGUAGUGGGUGUGUGUAAUUAAUAAGUGACUAUUAUUCUUUUAUGGCAGAAUAGGCAUCCAUUUUCUCCCUGUACCUUUUUUAUUUUCUAGCCGAAUUUUCUAUUAAAAGUUCAUGCAGGUUGGAUUAGGUGGUCAGAAGUGCUGACUCUCAAGAAAUUUAUACUCAGAAGUAUAAAUUUCUCUAGGGUGCAAACAUGACUUUGCAGAAGACGACUUCCCCAUUACUCUGGUGCUUAUGCAAGAAAAAAACAACUGCUCAAAUACUCGUUCAGUUGCCUAAUAGUGGUCUGCAACAUAAUAAACUACCAUCAUUGCUGACACAAUGCUAUUGAAUACAAAUAAAUUACCCUAUACUUCUCCCAGUAAUGAAAGUAUAUCACCCUCAGACACUGGUGAUACUUUUGUGACUGAACCACCAGUGAGUCAGUGUGUUAUAUUUGAAUACAGUUUUGAUGGUAUGAAUAGCAGCAAUAACCCUCUUUAGCUGUAAGCCCCAGUACACUGACGUUUUUCCUUUUUUAUUACUAAAACCGUGAAGCCCUCUGUGGUCUUUGUCAGUGGUCUGUUGAGUCAUAUCUUUCAAAGUGCCCACUUUUCCUGAAGGAAACAUAAUAAGAAAAGGCCCUGAGCUUUCUUUGUGGUGCUGUCACUCACAAUACUACACAAUCCUAAAGUUUGACAUGGAAAAAUACAAUCUAAAAAUAAAAGAAAAUGUUUUGAAGGAAAAGAAAAAAGAAAAAAAAAAGUUUAAAACCUGAAAACAUGAUUUGACUGUGAAAAAAGUACCUAUUCUGAGAGAAAGGGGGAAUAUGCUUUUCACUCUAUAUACUUUUUGAUACCUCUCUAAUAGCUUAUGUGAUUUUUAGAUUAAAAAAUACCUUACAUUUCUGACUGGUGUAUUAAAAUACCAAUAUUUUAGUCUCACUCUUUGAACACUUUCGAUUCACUUUGAUGUUUGUGUGAGUGUCUGAGAGAGAAUAAGGUGUCUCACUGAAGCUGCAGGAACCUAAUUUAGAGCUGAUCAGAUGAAAAAAUAAAAUCAUCAUCUGGUAUGCUGAUGACAUUCAAUUAUAAAUCUCUUCCACCUCCAUCACCCCCCAGACCCAACGCUCCCUCUCAAACUGCCUCUGAUAUCAAACACUGGAUAGACAGCAACCUUCUCAAGCUCAACUACGACAAAACAGAUCCCCUCAUGAUUGGCCCAAAAUUCCUCACCUCCACAGUCACAGACUUUCAUCUCAUCCACCCCCCCCAACCUCCUCACAGUUCCCCGGACCAAGCACUGAACCUGGGGGGACAGAGCCUUCUCAGUCGCCACCCCCACCCUCUGGAACUCACUCCCACUUGACCUCAGAAACUGCACCGAAAUUACCAGAUUCAAGACCCAGCUCAAAACCCACCUUUUCCGCACUGCCUUUUAUCCUCCAUAACCCACCCUGUGGAUUUUACCUGAUUUUACUUGAUUUUAUUUGAUAUUGAUGUAUUUUUUAUUGUAUAUUGUUGUAUGUUUUACUGCUCUUGCUUUUAUUCAUGUACAGCGUCUUUGUGUUUGUGAAACGCACUUUGCAAAUAAAAUGUAUUAUUAUUAUUAUUAUUAUUAUUAUUAUUAUUAUUAUUAUUAUUAUUAUUAUUAUUAUCAUUAUUAUUAUUAUUAUUAUUAUUAUUAAUGAUAAAUGUUUCUUCUUCUCACUUGUUUUUCCUGUUUCAGAGUGAAGCUGAAGCUGCUAUGUCCAGACACCUUGCUGUGCGGACAGUGAGCUGGGAUGUCAGAAGCGAAGGCCACAGGAUCAUCACCCACCACUGUUGAAGGAUGUGGAAGAGCUACAGUCAAUCAUUUUUAACACUCAAAUUGACACAUAAAUCAUUGCAUUUUCAAAUAAAUCAGCUGCAAACAAAGUGACA